CCCUUAGAUGUUCUGGGCCGCACGCGCGCUACAAUGAUGAAUUCAACGAGUUUAUAACCUUGGUUGAAAAGCCUGGGUAAUCUUUUGAACUUUCGUCGUGAUGGGGCUAGACCCUUGCAAUUAUUGGUCUCCAACGAGGAAUUCCUAGUAAACGCAAGUCAUCAGCUUGCAUUGAUUACGUCCCUGCCCUUUGUACACAUUGCCCGUCGCACCUACCGAUUGAAUGGUCCGGUGAAAUCUUCGGAUUGAGACUUUGUUUUCUUCACGGAAAACGCUGUUUUAAAAAGUUGAAUAAACCUUACCAUUUAGAGGAAGGUGAAGUCGUAACA
rnacentral:rRNA from 1 species